AUGACUUAUGAUUCCUGCUCAUCAUGGGAACCUGUCUGGAUUGUCCCUGCAGAAUGCUACAGCUUCCUUUCCUUCAUCGUGUUAUCAGCUUGUGGAGUCAUAAACCUGAGUGGAACUUUGGGUGAGAUUUUUUUGUUCAUUGCUAAAAUAUUUCAUAUUUAUUCUGGAAAAUUCUGUUAACCUUUUUCCUGUUGGUUGCAUAUUUUAUUCUAAAAAUGUUAAAGAAGACUACUAGAGGAAAAGUUUAUAUAGAUCAAAGAAAGAAGAGCUUUGGCUAGUAUAUAUGCUUUAGCCUCUAAUUAACAUUGAGGUUUUUCUCUAAAGGAGUUAGUAUAAAAAUAUAAAUUUAAAGAGAAAGAAUGGAGGGAAAGAAAAAAGUUAAUGGAAUUGGUCAUUUUUACAAAAUGUCAGUGUACAUAGCUUUAUAUGCUUUUGCUGAGUUUUACAAUCCUUGAAAUAUAAUAGGACAAAAUAGAAAAUUAUAACUUUCAUUCAAGCACUAAGACCUCUAGAAAGUGAAUUUUUUAUGACUCUCUGUUGGGCUUGUGUGACAAGGUUUUUGUAGCAGGGGGGCUACAGAGGUGUCUUCUGUGAGAAGCUUCUAGAAGCUUCCUCUAUGACCACUAGAGCCAGUAUCAGUGGAAGGGACCCACACAUGAGUGUUCAAGAAAAACUGCAGCCUGUGGGAAGGACUUGUAUUGGAGAAGUUCAUGGAGGACUGUCUCCCGUGGGAGGAAUCCAGAGUGGAGGAGGAGAAGAGUUUGAGUCUUCCCCCUGAUGAGGAAGGAGCAGCAGAGAUGACAUGUGGUGAACUGACUGCUACCCCUGUUCCUCUGUGUUGGUGGUGGGGAGGAGAUGGAGAUAGUUAGGCAGAAUGUUAAACUCGUGAAAAAGGGAGGGGGUGGGGUGAAGGUGAUUUUAAGAUUUAGCUCUAUUUUCUCAUUACCCUACUGUGAUUUAAUUGGUAAUAAUUUAAUCUCAUUUCCCCAAGUUGAGGUUUUGACUGUCAUAGUAACAGGUGAGUGAUCUCUCCCUGUUCUUACUUCAACAUACAAGCCUUUUGUAAUACUGCUUCUCCCCUGGCCAGCUGAGGAGGGGAGUGAAAGAGCAGCUCUUGUGGGCACAUGAUAUCCAGCCAGGAUCAGCCCACCACAAAGGUCAAUCAAAUUAGGAUAUUAUAAUUAUAUUAUAAUUAUUGUAUUAUAUUAUAAUAUCUUUUUGUGAUACCAUUGAAAAUUAAAGGACACAGAGAGGUUAAUUAUUUAUCUGAAAUAAAAAUGCUGAUGGUAGUCUGGCA
rnacentral:lncRNA from 1 species